rnacentral:tRNA from 6 species
UGGAUAGCUCAGUAGGGAUAGAGCAACGGAUCCUGAUUCCGUCUGUCGUGGGUUCGACUCCCACUCCAACCA